UUUACUUUCAGCCUGCCUGGUGGUCACAGGGUGAUAAGGAAACUCUCCUCUCGGGGCCGCAGGGACUGAGCUCUGCAGAGAAAGCACUGAAAUACGCCAGGGUGGGAGACACAAGCAUGGCACAGAUCUGGUGAGUCUCUUCACCAUUUGCUCAGACCAUCAUAUCAAGUCCAGCGCUCACACACACACCAGCAUCUGAGGAGAUCCCUGCUGUCUUCCGAGGACACCCCAGUGAAUAACUUGCAAAACUGCUACAGCCAAGAGUUUCAAGCAGCUGCUCAAGCCCUUCAGAAAAACAAAGCUCUGAAAUCAUUAACAAACACUUCUGAUGUGCUCCCAUCUUGAAAAAGAAAAUUACUCCCCUUCAGCAGC